rnacentral:rRNA from 1 species
UGCAAGUCGAGCGGACAGAAGGGAGCUUGCUCCCGGAUGUUAGCGGCGGACGGGUGAGUAACACGUGGGUAACCUGCCUGUAAGACUGGGAUAACUCCGGGAAACCGGAGCUAAUACCGGAUAGUUCCUUGAACCGCAUGGUUCAAGGAUGAAAGACGGUUUCGGCUGUCACUUACAGAUGGACCCGCGGCGCAUUAGCUAGUUGGUGAGGUAACGGCUCACCAAGGCGACGAUGCGUAGCCGACCUGAGAGGGUGAUCGGCCACACUGGGACUGAGACACGGCCCAGACUCCUACGGGAGGCAGCAGUAGGGAAUCUUCCGCAAUGGACGAAAGUCUGACGGAGCAACGCCGCGUGAGUGAUGAAGGUUUUCGGAUCGUAAAGCUCUGUUGUUAGGGAAGAACAAGUGCAAGAGUAACUGCUUGCACCUUGACGGUACCUAACCAGAAAGCCACGGCUAACUACGUGCCAGCAGCCGCGGUAAUACGUAGGUGGCAAGCGUUGUCCGGAAUUAUUGGGCGUAAAGGGCUCGCAGGCGGUUUCUUAAGUCUGAUGUGAAAGCCCCCGGCUCAACCGGGGAGGGUCAUUGGAAACUGGGAAACUUGAGUGCAGAAGAGGAGAGUGGAAUUCCACGUGUAGCGGUGAAAUGCGUAGAGAUGUGGAGGAACACCAGUGGCGAAGGCGACUCUCUGGUCUGUAACUGACGCUAAGGAGCGAAAGCGUGGGGAGCGAACAGGAUUAGAUACCCUGGUAGUCCACGCCGUAAACGAUGAGUGCUAAGUGUUAGGGGGUUUCCG